rnacentral:misc_RNA from 1 species
CGUCUCGCUUCCGGUGCCGGUGAUGUCGGCAUAGAGGCCGGACAUAUCGAGGAUCGCGCCGAGUUUCAGAGGCGGCUUGCCUUGCGCCAUCGCGGCGGUUGAGCCGAUCACGAGCGCAAAUGACACGAGGCUUGCGAGGAUUUUCUUCAAUGUUGUCUCCCGUUGUCGAUGGCGCGCCUUCGCCGGCGGCAUCUUUGGUUGCUUUCAUCAUGGCGCAACCCUGACAUUGCGGCAAGCAACCGGCCCUGCAAAUGCCAUCGGUCAAC